CCUACGGGGGGCAGCAGUGGGGAAUAUUGCACAAUGGGGGAAACCCUGAUGCAGCGACGCCGCGUGAGUGAAGAAGUAUUUCGGUAUGUAAAGCUCUAUCAGCAGGGAAGAAGAAAGACGGUACCUGACUAAGAAGCCCCGGCUAACUACGUGCCAGCAGCCGCGGUAAUACGUAGGGGGCAAGCGUUAUCCGGAUUUACUGGGUGUAAAGGGAGCGUAGGUGGUGUGGUAAGUCAGAUGUGAAAGCCCGAGGCUCAACCACGGGACUGCAUUUGAAACUAUCAUGCUAGAGUACAGGAG
rnacentral:rRNA from 1 species